rfam:Nicotiana attenuata strain TT chromosome 11, whole genome shotgun sequence.
UGGACAAAUUAUUGUAUUCGAUUGUAUUCACGGCGUGAAACAGGGGAUUACACUGUUUUUAAACGGAAAGUGAAUCAAUUAACAUAAUAGACUCAU